rnacentral:rRNA from 1 species
CCUACGGGAGGCAGCAGUGGGGAAUUUUGGGCAAUGGGCGCAAGCCUGACCCAGCAACGCCGCGUGAAGGAUGAAAUCCCUCUGGAUGUAAACUUCGAAAGUCGGGAAAGAAAUCGCCA